UUAAAAUUAAUUGUGUUUCGUCCAAGAUAAAUAGUCUGAUCGUCUGCAACAGAAUAUGAUAUAAAAAGAGUUAAUGCAAAUUUCGAUGGAAAUCUGUUCGAUUGCUAAAGCUUUACAUAGACGCCUCGUAGAAGAAGUACUAAAGAUUCAUUUUUGGCAAGGAGUUCGAAAACAUUCGACGCCAAUAUGUCCGAAAUAGCCAAAUACAUUUGUUGCAUAACGAAAUAUUCAAUUUCAAUAUUGUCAGAGAUCGAACUUGUCUGACACCACCAUGCCAUUAAACGCAUCCGUCAACUAAUGAUUUGCGAAAGGUCGAAAAUUGAAGCCAUGGAGGAACCUAACCAUCGGAUAGCAUCGUUUGUUCUGAUAAAUUUUCUAUCGACUUCUGUUCCUGUCUGAUCGCCUUUUCUUCUCUACUUCGAAAGGUAUAGGCUACUUCAGUUUCAAGGGAUAGGAACAUUGAGGUAGGAGUUCGGCUGCUGCAGUGGCAAGGUGAGUAUGGCGCGGACUCAAAACGAUAACGUCUCUAGCUAUAUUUUCAACAGAAAUUCAAUGAUUGUUUAAAAUGACUUAGCGUUUUUAUUUUCAGCUUACGGUGUACUAAUGUUUUAGCCAUGAAACAUUGCGCAACUAUGAGGCUAACAGAACACCAAUGAUUCCAAAAGCUGGAAGUUGUGAACCACUUUAGGCCGAUGGUCAACAAAGAACGAGAAAAAAUAAUGAUUAUGCUCUCCACUCCGGAUAUACAAUAAUAGAUUGGCAGAAAUGGCAUAGAGAUGACGCCCUGCAGAUAUAUCGGCAUCGAAAAGUUUUCGUCCUUGUUGAAAAAUUUCGAAUGCUUUUCCUUUGUCUAAACUCAGCAUUUAUUUGUAGAUUCUCCUGCAGUCAAUGUUAACCUCAUAAAGAAAUUAUAAGCCUUUGAAACCAAAUAUUAUUACUUUUUCCGGAAACGUCGCUAUCGAAUACGUUCCGCAUAAAAACCGAUGGUUCUUCUAGAAGGACUAAAAUCGUAAUAACCAUAAUUUAUACGUCAAAUCUGAAAAUACAACGGUAUAAAAAUCUCCGAUACGCACAUGCCCCUAGAAGAUUCGAGGCAAGGAUUUUACAAUUUCAGAUUUUCGCCCUAAACCUACUUUACACUGGAAAAUAAUCUGCCGUAAAACGUCCUAUAUUUUGAAUGAUGUGGCGGAAAACAGAAAGUUUACACAAAAUUAACACUUUAACGUACGCGAUAUAGGCUAAAUUAUGCAUAAAGUGAGCCACAGUCAUAGUUUUUUGAUACACUACCCUCUUUUUAGAUUAGGAUAUUACAAACGCUGAACCUAGAUAUUUGUACCAUUUCAAUUGAAGGUGACGACUUUAAAAUGACAACUCAAUUCAUAGAAUAUACUUGACUAUGCAAAAUGUUAGAUAUCGAUUUGCGUCAUAAAAUUGACUCCCGUAGCCCGUGGUUCUAAAUACGACCUAGGUUAUAAUAUCCGUAAUGGUUUGGGUAGGUCGUUCAAGCGCGUUGCAUCCUAUUUGAUACAAACUGUUAAAAAAAUUCUCACGGACGUUCAGCGAAAUUUACACCGAGCCGAGGAUUUUUGGAUUGUAUCGCAUUCAUCAGUAAUUUCAGGUAAUCCAAAGUUUAUGUUUAAUAGAUCUAUGUUGAAGACAACAGUAUUAUCAUUUAAAGUUCUGAAUGUAUGCACUUUCAUAACUACCCCUUUCUGCCGUCGACAUAUUCCGUAUACUUGGUAUACCUGUGCCCGAGUACAAUCGUUGUCAGUGCACCACGGUCCAGCGUUAAUGAAUCAUUUAAAAAAUAAGACAAUUGUUUCGAGGUCAUUGAAAAAACAAAGAAGGACUGUUCUUAAGUAAGUAUAAAAGACAUAGAUGCGUAUUUUUUUUUAUCCGAUUCACAGAAAAAUGCGUACUUUUAGCAAUUGUCCUUAUCUGUAGAAUGCAGUGAGAGUUAUCGAACUCAUAAAAUACCAACCUUGCAUUCGACAUCCUUUGAGUCGACGAUGUACUAGUCUCUGUCUAGAUCUUCAGGGCAGUUUAGGUAAAGCUGGUGAUACUCCUGACCGAAACAUGGAAAGAGGUAAAGCUGCUGAGCAUAGCCUUGCUCAACGAACUCCGACGUGCACAGAGUGAUGCGUACGAUCUUCAAAAGGACUGCUGGACUUUUAUUUGACAAAAAGAAGCCCUUAUAAACAUGUGCCUUGGAACCCGUCAGUAUGUUCUUUCGAGGGACACAUUAAAAGUCUUUACAACAAUAUAGAAUAACGCGCCUCAGAUCAAUGGGUUUGAUAACUUCUGAGUACACAUAUUGCUACGAAUCGCGGUUUUUUAAGCGCUACCCAUAUGGUCAAGUGGCGAUUCAUAUCUCAAUAGAAAGAAACUUCGCUGUCUGAGUUACUACCAAAGUCCGAUGCGUCCUCCAAAGAUAAGUUCCGUUAACUCACUUAUUUGUCACCGGGCAGGUUACAUGUACAAGGCUCAAAGUACAGCUUGAAACUUUGAGCAGGAAGCGAAACGCAUUACGCUCAUGUAUUUCGAAUAGCCCUCAGAUACCUGUUGUGGUACACAUUUUCUGUUUUCCCUAUUUGAGAUAGUAAAUUUUUGUAAAAACAUUUCAAAUUAUCGCACGUAGCCUCCAUCAUAGAUGCGUUGCGCUUCGGUGCGCAGAACGGCUAUUCUGAUUAUUUCACUGACAUAUUCGUGUUUUGUUUUCAUUGGCCUAUAAUCUUUAGCCGCCAUAUUACAGGAUCAACAAAUUUGUUAUCUUAAGUAAAAAUGUAUGUGCGGUCAUUUCGAAAUUUAAUUCUAAUAGUGUUGCAUAUUUUUAGGUCCAGGUUUGGCUUAAUGGGAGAGAAAAAAAAUUGUUCCUUAAUCAAUAGGUAUGUCAAACAACUUAUAAUUGGAUAGAAUUUUAAAGAUUCACUUACUUCUCACCUUGAGGUAGCAGAAGCGUCAUAGAAGGGUAUCAGGCUAACGAUAAGACAUGCAUUGCUUAUUUGCAAUGCAAGCACGGAGCAAGUGAUGCAGAAGAGCGGGACACUUGACACGGUAUUACAGGAUCACAGGAUCAAUAAAAUUGGACGCUAGCAGCGAGAUAACCGUAUUACUAAGGUAAGUUGCUCUAACACGCCAAUGGCAUAAACGAGCGAACUUACCGAAGGAGAAGUUGAUGGAAAAAAGUGCAACCGGAACACUGUAGUAAGACAGCAAAGUGGACCCAACAAGUUUAACUUAUAGGGUGAUAUCAUAACUGUAACAAGUUAAGGUUCGGAAAUCGGACUCAGUAGAUUUGAACUCGCUUUAUAUUAAGUAAGGAGAACGAGCGGAUUCAAGUUGGCUCGUAUCUGCCGUGUAUGUGCGGUACCGAUUAUGCACAAGAAUAAGUUUACGGGCAGAAAUGUAGGCUAAUUUCAUACAUGUGUGUGUGGGGGGCUUUUUGUCAUCAUCCAGGUGGGGUGGGCACGACCAAUCCGGAGUUCUUUAUAGUCAUGAUUUUACUUUUUCCAUUUUUUUUUAUGCGUGUGUCCAUAAAUAUCAAUUAAUCGCUGUGCGGUACAGCAUGCCUAUAAACAUGUAAAUUUUUCUGUAAAAAAGUAUCGCCUUGUAACUUGCGACUAAUAUUAAUUAAUUAAAAAACUACAUGUACAGCGUAUCUCAAGAAUGGGUAACACUUCUUUCUACAUACUCAAUAGAAAAAUGCGAAAAGCCCUAACUGAGUUAUUAAGCUAUUAAAAAUGACCCAGAACCAGAACACGUUUUGUAGAAAACACUCGAGGAAACCCGUAUUUUAUAAUAUAUUCCUCGGCGGUAAGGUCGGCAACAAUCUGAACGUAAUUCUGAAGGCUGAAGGCUGGCAGCGUGUGAAGAUUGACUUUGCGCAAGCACUUCAUCGUAACACUUAUUCGAUACUCUUAACUUGGUGAUGGUGUAUUUAGAGGUAUUACCUUAACAUUAUUAGCUGUUAAAGACUUGUUUUCAUUAUGAACAUUUGCUUAUUUUUCGUAUUGCCAUCAGUUGCUACUGGAUCACUGUACUACACUUGUGCCUAUCGUGAGAGCAUUUCCAGAUAUCACGUCCUACACCGUUCGUGCAUUCAUUCAAGGCCUUGUAGACUAAGAUAAAGGCGCAAGAUGUUCAAGCCCGUAAAAAAAACUGCGUUAUCUGUGGUCAUGGUGAGCUUUCGAGAGAAACAGCUCAAGGAUGGUUCGGCCCCUUUCGUUCUGGAAAUUUCGAUAGGAAAUCUGGACUCGUAGAUAGCUAUGGCGUCGAUACGGAACUAAACAUUUAUUAUCAAACAUUUUUUAUAUAUUUGGAUAAAGCUCAACAGGAAUACAAUGAAACAAAUUUAUUUCCGAAGCGGUUAACCGCUAUGAUGAAAAGUGGAUCACAUACGAUCAUGAUGCGUAAAUUUAAAAAAAUAAUAAUAAAGGAAGUGUUCCAUCAUCUGUAUCAAAGUC